rnacentral:rRNA from 1 species
UACGUAGGGUGCAAGCGUUGUCCGGAAUUAUUGGGCGUAAAGAGCUCGUAGGCGGUCUGUCGCGUCGGCUGUGAAAACCCGGAGCUCAACUCCGGGCCUGCAGUCGAUACGGGCAAACUGGAGUGUUGCAGGGGAGACUGGAAUUCCUGGUGUAGCGGUGAAAUGCGCAGAUAUCAGGAGGAACACCGGUGGCGAAGGCGGGUCUCUGGGCAACAACUGACGCUGAGGCACGAAGGUCAGGGGAGCAAACGGG